UCCGGUUUGGCACCGGCAGUCUCCCCAGAGCUCCCGGCAUAACCCGCUGGCAACUGAGGACAAGGGUUGCGCUCGUUGCGCCACUUAAGGCAACACCUCACGGCACGAGCUGACGACAGCCAUGCACCACCUGUGCAGGCUCCGUGGAGCGCCGGCUUUCACCGGCUUCACCCUGCAUGUCAAGCCCAGGUAAGGUUCUUCGCGUCGCAUCGAAUUAAGCCGCAUGCUCCGCCGCUUGUGCGGCCCCCGUCAAUUCCUUUGAGUUUCAGCCUUGCGGCCGUACUCCCCAGGCGGGGCACUUACUGCGUUAGCGACGGCACCGGGAGGAGUCGACACCUCCCACGCCUAGUGCCCAUCGUUUACGGCGUGGACUAC
rnacentral:misc_RNA from 1 species